GACGAACGCUGGCGGCGUGCUUAACACAUGCAAGUCGAACGGAAAGGCCCUGCUUUUGUGGGGUGCUCGAGUGGCGAACGGGUGCGUAACACGUGAGUAACCUGCCCUUGACUUUGGGAUAACUUCAGGAAACUGGGGCUAAUACCAGAUCGGAUAUCCUGCUGCAUGGUGGGGGUUGGAACGUUUCGGCGGUUGGGGAUGGACGCGCGGCUGAUCAGCUUGUUGGUGGGGUAGUGGCUUACCAAGGCUUUGACGGGUAGCCGGCCUGAGAGGGUGACCGGCCACAUUGGGACUGAGAUACGGCCCAGACUCCUACGGGGGACAGCAGUGGGGAAUAUUGCACAAUGGGCGGAAGCCUGAUGCAGCAACGCCGCGUGCGGGAUGACGGCCUUCUGGUUGUAAACCGCUUUCGCCUGUGACGAAGCGUGAGUGACGGUAAUGGGUAAAGAAGCACCAGCUAACUACGUG
rnacentral:rRNA from 1 species